rnacentral:rRNA from 1 species
UGCAGUCGAGCGGACAGAAGGGAGCUUGCUCCCGGAUGUUAGCGGCGGACGGGUGAGUAACACGUGGGUAACCUGCCUGUAAGACUGGGAUAACUCCGGGAAACCGGAGCUAAUACCGGAUAGUUCCUUGAACCGCAUGGUUCAAGGAUGAAAGACGGUUUCGGCUGUCACUUACAGAUGGACCCGCGGCGCAUUAGCUAGUUGGUGGGGUAAUGGCUCACCAAGGCGACGAUGCGUAGCCGACCUGAGAGGGUGAUCGGCCACACUGGGACUGAGACACGGCCCAGACUCCUACGGGAGGCAGCAGUAGGGAAUCUUCCGCAAUGGACGAAAGUCUGACGGAGCAACGCCGCGUGAGUGAUGAAGGUUUUCGGAUCGUAAAGCUCUGUUGUUAGGGAAGAACAAGUGCGAGAGUAACUGCUCGCACCUUGACGGUACCUAACCAGAAAGCCACGGCUAACUACGUGCCAGCAGCCGCGGUAAUACGUAGGUGGCAAGCGUUGUCCGGAAUUAUUGGGCGUAAAGGGCUCGCAGGCGGUUUCUUAAGUCUGAUGUGAAAGCCCCCGGCUCAACCGGGGAGGGUCAUUGGAAACUGGGAAACUUGAGUGCAGAAGAGGAGAGUGGAAUUCCACGUGUAGCGGUGAAAUGCGUAGAGAUGUGGAGGAACACCAGUGGCGAAGGCGACUCUCUGGUCUGUAACUGACGCUGAGGAGCGAAAG